UACGUAGGAUGCGAGCGUUGUCCGGAAUCACUGGGCGUAAAGCGCGCGUAGGCGGCGCCCUGCGUCGGCGGUGAAAGCUCCCGGCUCACCCGGGAGAGGGCCGCCGAAACGGGGGCGCUGGUGAGGGCGGUAGGGGCUGGCGGAACACCCGGAGUAGCGGUGAAAUGCGUUGAGAUCGGGUAGAACACCGGUGGCGAAGGCGGCCAGCUGGGCCGACCCUGACGCUGAGGCGCGAAAGCCAGGGG
rnacentral:rRNA from 1 species